UACGAAGGGGGCUAGCGUUGCUCGGAAUCACUGGGCGUAAAGCGCACGUAGGCGGAUCUUUAAGUCAGGGGUGAAAUCCUGGAGCUCGACUCCAGAACUGCCUUUGAUACUGAGGAUCUCGAGUCCGGAAGAGGUGAGUGGAACUCCUAGUGUAGAGGUGGAAUUCGUAGAUAUUAGGAAGAACACCAGUGGCGAAGGCGACUCACUGGUCCGGUACUGACGCUGAGGUGCGAAAGCGUGGGGAGCAAACAGG
rnacentral:rRNA from 1 species